rnacentral:tRNA from 1 species
GGUGACGUACCAAAAUGGCUAAUGGGACGGUUUGCAAAACCGUUUUGUGUCGGUUCGAUUCCGACCGUCACCUCCA